AACGAACGCUGGUGGCGUGCUUAACACAUGCAAGUCGAACGAGAAAGAUUCCUUCGGGGAUCGAGUAAAGUGGCGCAAGGGUGAGUAACACGUGGAUAAUCUGCCCUCGAAAUUAGGAUAACUCGGCGAAAGCUGGGCUAAUACUGAAUAAGACCACGUCUCACAAGAGAUGCGGGAAAAAGAGCCUCAAGCUCCGUUCGAGGAUGAGUUCGCGGACCAUUAGCUAGUUGGUGAGAUAAAAGCUCACCAAGGCGACGAUGGUUAGCCGGCCUGAGAGGGUGAUCGGCCACACUGGAACUGAGACACGGUCCAG
rnacentral:rRNA from 1 species